GUAAGUUUGGACUUGGCUAAACAUUGAGUUGUAUGAUGGGAACCAAUUAUUUAUUUAAGCAUUACCUCGUCAUAUAGGAACAACAGACUUCGAAUACUCUCUACUUACCCUAACAGAUGAGGCUCUAGCUUUGAUUGGUUUUCCUCUCUGCUUUAGAAUGCCUGGAAAAGGAGCCUGGAACUGCCUCCCAAGGAGGAAGUGACCCAGUCUUUCUGCAUGGCAGAUGGCCAAGCCACCGCCUGCACCCCUCCUGUUAACAUGGCUCCGGAGCCUGGACGGGAGGCCGGUGCCAGGCAGCGGAGGAUCUGGAGAGAAAAAUGCUUUCCGAAGUGUGAUAAGCUGGAUCAAAGCAAUCAAAAGCAAAACAGAUUGAAAUCAACGCUUGACAAAGUUCUUGAACUGGUUAUUUGUUUCUGACACAUUAAAUCUUCUCAAAGGCGUUGAAACUUGGACAAGCAUUUUUGACCUAAUCUGCCCUGGUAAGACCCUGAAUGAGGUAAAGAAUGAUUGUAUAACUCUGUUUAUUCUGUCAAGAAUCAAUUACCUGAUGGUACAGAAAGGCCCUUCUUAAUCCUCAGAGAAAAAAGAUUGAUUAAGAGGGGGUGGGUCUUUGUGGCAGCAUGUCACUAUCACAGGUUGUGUUUAGGAGAUGGGGUUUGUCCUAGGGGUUGAGAUCCACCUAAGACACUCACAUCUCACAUCACGGUGCCAGGGUUUGUAUUCUGACUUGGCUCCCCAAUUCUGCUUCCUACUAAUUCACACCCUAGAAGGCAGCAAGUGAGGGCUCAAGUACUUGGGUUCCUGCCAUCUACAUCGGCUCCUGGCUCCUGGCUUUGCCCUGGCCCAAACCUGGCUGUUGUGAGCAAUUGGGGUGAACCAGUGGGUGGGAGAACUGUCCGUCCAUCUGCCUCUGACUGCCUUUCUCUCAUUCUCUCUGCCUUUCAAAUAAAUAAAAAAAAUUUUUUUGACAGGCAGAGUGGAUAGUGAGAGAGAGAGAGAGAGAGAGAGAGAGACAGAGAGAAAGGUCUUCCUUUUUGCCGUUGGUUCAUCCUCCAAUGGCUGCCACGGCCAGCGCACUGCGCUGAUCCGAUAGCAGGAGCCAGGUACUUAUCCUGGUCUCCCAUGGGGUGCAGGGUCCAAGCACUUGGGCCAUCCUCCACUGACUUCCUGGGCCACAGCAAAGAGCUGGCCUGGAAGAGGGGCAACUGGGAAAGAAUCCAGCGCCCCGACCGGGCCUAGAACCUGGUGUGCCGGCACCGCUAGGUGGAGGAUUAGCCUAUUGAGCCGCGACGCCGGCUUCAAAUAAAUAAAUAAAUUUUUCAAAGUUGUGUGUUUGGACAUAAAAUGGAGAAGAAUAACUAAUAUAAUGUGUAAUUUUUGCUUUUAUUAUAUAGCAUACAAUAAUAGUGAAACCAGUUUCCUUGGAAAUAUGGAGUAAAAUUUGUAAAUAGAUAUUCACUGAGAUAUAAAAGUGACACAAGGAAUAAAUAUUUCUUUUUUAUAACCUAAAUAACAACAUAGGAAACUUUAAUGUCCUUUUCAUUCUAGCUAUCAUUUCUGAAUGUGAUGUAUUUGCCUUAAUUUAAAAUUCUAGUGAUCCUGAGGAAAGAAGAAAUGAAAAAACCUCCAGAGGAGCAUUUAUAAAACUCAUUCAAAUUUCAUCUUCAUGAUUGUCUGUGAAUUGUUCCUGCAUUUGUGGUGUUGCUUUGGUAUCAUCACUAGUUUCAUGCUCUUAUGAGCUAAUCCUUUUCAAACUGGGCCUUUGCCUUAACUAGAAGAUAAAAUGGUGAAUUAUUUACGCAAAGAUAUAAUAUCUCAAAUGUGAUUGGCUUUUAACUUGCUGUUGAUAGAUAUCUUUAUAGUUCUACGAUUGCCGUAUGUGUUUCGUGUAUUAGUAAGAUAUGAUGACUCUAAAAUAUGCAAUGAAUAAGACAGUGUCUUCAUUAUGAGUUUUAAUCGUACUUUAGAUAAAUACCAUGUAAUUCUACACAGGGCUCUUAAACUGAUCGUGUUAUUGAUCACCAUUUGCAUUUUCAGAAUAGAAUAACACAGUCAUUACAGUUUUUUUUUAAUUGUAAAAGGCCAACAAAUGUUUGAACAGAUACAACGGAAGGAUACCCCCAUUAGCAGUCAUAUCUAUUUAGCUGAAAAAAGUGGAAACAGAGAAAAAAACUGUUUCAUGUGCUUUCCUGCCUUGAGUAAUCUGUGUUGUCUAUUACAUAAGGGCAUCAAAAUUGGUAAAAAUAUUUUAAGGUAUACUAGGGUACAUGGUACCUAUUUCUCCAGAUCAACCUGAUAGAAUAUGCAUUUUAUGAUACAACAAUUCACUUUAAUUCAUUUUCAUUCAUUUAAUAUGAAUAUGGGAUAACUUUGCUUUUCCUUUUGUGUAUGUUACUUAUUUAAAUAUUUUUAUAGAGGAAAAUUCAAACGCAUACAAAGGUAAAAAAAAAAAAGGCAACUCUAUGCACCUAUCCCAUAGCUUCAAGAAAUACAUGUAUCUGGCCUAUCAUGUCUCACCUAGACCACACACUGUUUCAUCCAAAAGUACGCAGUAUGUAUCUGAAAAAAACCAUGUAAGCCUUACCAUAAAAACUAUUCACAUAAAAUUGGCUAUGGUUUCAGUGUCAGAAGAGUUUGGUAGGAUACAGGCGCAAGAGUAAGAGAUGUCCACUGGGACUUGAUGCUUGCGCCCACAAACAGAAAGGUUGUGACUCUCUCUGAUGCUUCUAUAAUUCCAACCAGUCUGCAUUAUGAAGUUAUUUCUUUCUUUUUUAAAAAAAUUUAUUUAUUAUUUAUUUGAAAGAGAGAGAGAGAGACAGAAAUCUUCCACCGCAGGUUCACUCCCCGAAUGGCCACAAAGGCCAACAUGGGGUCUGGCCAAAGGCAAGAGCCAGGAGCUUCUUCCGGAUCUCCCUCGUAGGUGCAGGGAGAUGUUCUUGAGCUGUCCUCUGCUGCUUCUCCAGGUGCAUUAGCAGGGAGCUGGAUCCGAAGUGGAGCAGCCAGGACUGGACCAGCUGCCAUUGCAGGAGGUGGUUUACCUUGCUGUGUCGCUACACUGACCCCAGUGAAGUCAUUUCUAACAUUCUUUCAUCGCGCUUUGGGAGCAGAUGAAUGGGCAAACUUGGGUGAUUAAAGCAAACUUGAAA